UUUUCAGAAUUCUAAAAGUUCUCUCUCAGUCCCUCGCUCUCCCUCCCGUGCUCACCCUCUCUCCUCCGGCAGUUCAUCGGCCACCGGAAAUUCCCUCUCAGUCCUUCGCUCUCCCUCCCGUGCUCACCCUCUCUCUCCUCCGGCGAGUUUUUCGGCCACCGGAAAUCCUCUCUCACUCCAUCGCUCUCCCUCCCGCGCUCACCCUCUCUGUCCUCCGGCGAGUUCUUCGGCACCGGUGAAGCUGUCCGUCUGUCGCAAGGUUCCAUCCACUGUCUCUCUCACUCCGGCGUCGUCUACAGCCACCGGCGAAGCUCCUGUCUCUCUCUCACUCCGGCGAAGCCGAAGGCUCUCUCUCUCCUCCACCGGUGGUGACUGGAGUAAGCAUGCAAAGUGUUCUAAUUGGUGAGAAUCUUGGCGGCUGUGCAUUUGUGUGUGGAUCAUUGAGCUUCUUGGACAAAAUCGCAUGUGGGCUUGCCUUGUAUGUUCUUCAGUCGUUUCAAAGUUCCUCUCCAGCAGUUCAUUUGACCAGUCCAAUACAUGUCUAUAUUUCAGUUACAAGGAUUGGUUUGGGUCUCAUACCACCAUUUUGUUCACUAGUUGGGGUGGUAGUUACAUACACCAUGAAACUCCAUACCCCUUUUUCGAAACCUAUGAUGGAGCCACUGUUGGAAUAGAGUGUGAACAAAACAAUUUCCUUUAGACAACUCUUUCUUUAAGAUGUUGGAGCAUUUGCUGCAGGUUUGAUUAUUUUCCGGGAAAAAUUCUCUAUAGUGUAGCAAUUACAUAGGAAAGGACACAAUUUUUGGCUACAGAUCUGGUAUAGAAAGCAUGAGAAUUUCUUCUUCUUCAUUGAAUUCAAUUCUUUCAUUGAAGUCAUUGUUAUCAUACCCGCCGGACUUGUUUAUGUAUAUAAUCAUACGAUGUUUAAUUUGUAUUCAAUGAUGAAAAUUCCAUUCAUUGAUUUUUUCGCGUUUUAUGUGAUGAUGUGAUCUAAAUUUUGUCGUGCUUA